rnacentral:lncRNA from 1 species
UAUGUAAGAACAAUUUUAUCUUAUUUGAAAUAUAUUUACAGGACAGCUUUGGCCCUUUUGAGCUCAAAAAAUUAACAUUUCCAAUUUAAAUACUUUUUGUGUUUUUACAUCACAGCAAAAACAUAUCUAGUCAUCAACUUUUCUUACUGACUCAUGACAUGGUUUCAUUAACAAGUUCAUUUGAAGGUCAUAGAUGUUUUGCUUUCCAAAUAUUUCAGUCUCAUUGACUGUACAUUUUAACAGAAGUUUAAGGUGACAUGAAAAAAAUUUUAUAUAAACUUCAGUCAAUUUUACAUGGCAGAAAAUAUAUGUUAUAUUAAAUAUAAUGGCUUAAUGUUUACCAUGUUUUAUUCUGUACAUUCAUGUGAAAUAUCACAUUUCAGAUAGUAUUAUUAAAACAUUCUCUUAAAAAUAGAAAACCUAGAUAGCACAUGUGAUAUGCAAUAUUCAUCUUGAAAAAGAUAUGUGAGUGACUUUUGAUUGGGUUACUGUCUCAGUAGCAGAAUGACUAUUAUGUGUACAACACAACACUUAAUUAACAUUCUACUGUGGUAAAUGAACACAAUCCUCCUAAAAAUUACCUUCAGGGAUUUAAAGCACAUGGUCUUUAUGAUUUCUGGGUCACAGACUCCUUAAAGGAGCAUUUCUGACAAUGCUAUUCCCAGAUAUAGGCACCACCUUAUGUACAAUGGCAAAGAUUUCAAGACCACCUGGGGACUGUAUAUCAUCAUGAUGAAUAUUUAUGUGCCUGAAUGAAAAGAACAGACAUCUCUUGGGUGCUUUUAGCUUUUGAGCCUAUGAAUCACAUUUGGGGGCAACCGCAAUAUAUUAUGCCAUGGAUAGUCUCAACUACAAAAGGCAAAAGAGUCUCCUGCAAAAUAGAAGCAAACUGAAAGUACUUUCUGCCUCAUAGGAUUGGUUAUAUUCAGACUCCUUCUUCCUCAACUUUUAUUUCUCCAUGCCAACCUUCUGGAAACGUUACAGGAGAAAUAGCCCUUUUGUUUGCAAAAGGUGUGACAGGUUUUCUAGGUUACUUGAUGAUAGCGCGCUUUAGUUAUGUCACUCUCCCAAGACAAAUUGAGCUUUAUUUUUAUCUUAGAAAAAAGAAAGGAAGGGGAAAUAGUGUGUUGUCAUCAAAUGACAUAAUAAUUUUUAUUUAGAUUAGCAAAAAACCCACAUUGAAAUGAGAAAAUAAGAGCUUAUUUUUAUAUUUUCACCCAAAGUUGUGCUUAACAUUCUUUAAAGCAAUAUAAAUACAUUUUGUAAGGAUAUGCAGUUACAUUAAUAAGAUUAGUUUCAUUGUUUCUAGCAUCAUUUUUAAGGUAACCAAGUCAAAUGCCUUAAUUUAAAUAUCUUUAUCAAUCAAUAAGGUAUGAAGAGCAAGACUUUAUCUGGUAACUGCUUCCCUAAAUUAGUUAAGAUGAUUUUGCAACUGCUAAUUAAGGCCACAGAAUGUGCCAGAAAAUGUGAUAUUCUUCCAGCCUUCAGAGAAUUUAAUCCUAUGUUUAGCUAAAAUAUGCACAUAUUAAUAAUUACUAAAGUACAAAACAGUAAAUCCACUACUUAUGGAUUUACUGUUACUUAUGAGACCCACAUAUAAAGUGAGGGUCUCAUCUUACUUAUGAGACCCACACAUAAAGUGAGGGUCUCAUCUUACUUAUGAGACCCACACAUAAAGUGAGGUGAAUUCCUAAAUAUUAGUUUGUUAUUGCUGGUUGGAGAAAUAAAAAAUAACAAUUAAAGAAAUGUGUAUGUGUGUGAUUUAUACGUGUUUUAAUAUGUGAGCUACUUUGUACUUGGAAUAAUUUCUUUGUUAAAAAAUCAGGGAAAAAUAUUUCAAUGUAUUGUAAAACAGUAAGUGUGGGUUAAUAAAUUUUAUAUAUCCUUCCCAUUACAUUGACUCUGUACUUUCUGGAUUUUUAACUGAGGUCUAUGAGUGUUCUUCAGAGUAAAUUCUCUGAUAUUUUAAUUAAAAAUGUAUGUGCAUAUGAAUGUAUAUGUUAUUUUUCUGGAAAAAAGCUAGCUUUCAUUAGCUUGUAAACAGUAUCUGUGACCCAGAAAAUGUCAGGAGGUUGGUACAUUACCUGUCCUAAUUCUAAUUAUUCAUUGUAAACUUUAAAACAAUGACUCUGAACCAUUGAUACGAUUAUUUAUUCCCAGAGAGUUAGCAUGAGAUAAUAGACUAAUUAAAAUCUCUUUUUGCUGGAAUCGAAUUACUGAAAUGUUCAAUGUAGAAAACAAACAUUAGCCUACAGCAACCUGAAAACAAAGUAUUUCAUGAACUGAAUAAUGUAAAAGAAGAGAAAUAUAAGUCAAAUAUGAUGAAAUUCAUUUAAAGUGGUGCUUUCCAUGAGGAGAACCUUAUCAUACAUGAACACAAUUUCAAAAUAUUUCAUGCAAUUUCUAUUUCUAUUGGAAUUAUCUUUCUGCACACUUUAGAUAAUGUGCCAAUUAGUUAACCAGUAUCAUCUAGGAGGAAGUUAAGUGUGAAAUUAUUGGAGAUAAUUUAUUAUGUAGAAUAUGUUCUUGUUGUAUUAUUAAAAUAUGCAAAUAAAACUAUGUUUUUAAAUAAUGAUGACAUAUAUUUAUGGUUUCCAGAUAUGUUAUAGGAUGCCAAGCUAAGUGUGAAUUUCAAAUAAUGAAUAAUUUUUAGCAUAACUAUGUCCCAAAUAUUGUAUGGAACAUACUUAUCCUAAAAAAAGUCAUUCAUCUGAAGUUGAAAUUUAACAAAGCAUGCUAUACCUUUAUUUGCUAAAUAUGACAAUCCUACAUAUAUCAAAUAUUAAAAAUUUCAGAAGCAACAGAAAACAGCAAAACUUGCACUAAAUUUUCAGAUAGGCAGUUUAAGAAAGAAAUUCUCUUGAGAAUCAGUAGUAUCUGAUCAAAACAUAAAAAUAAAUGCUUUCUAGCUCUUCAACUGAAUAACAGAUUAAUAUACAGAAUUAAAAAGUCAUUAUAAAAUUAAAUUUUAAAUAAAGGAAUGUACUAUUAUCUUUGAUUAUCACAUUUAAUAAAGACUCUGUAUCUUUUAUAUUAUUAAAAAAAUGCCCUCUACAAAUGAAAUAGUUUCCAGGAUUGGAGUGACUGUAUCAAGAAAUGCUUACAGUGGGCAGAAUGUAUAAAACAAUGACUGAAGUGUUGGAGCACAAAAAGUUAUUGAUAUGAUUUGGUUCUGUGUUCCCACCCAAAUCUCAUGUUGAAUUGUAAUUCCCAAUGUCGGAGGUAGAACGGGGUGGGAGGUGAUUGGAUCAUGGGGGUGGUUUCUAAUGGUUCAGCACCAUCCCUCCAGUACUGUCUUGUGAUAAUAGUGUUCUCACGAGAUCUGAUUGUUUAAAAAGUGUGUGGCACCUUCCCAUUCACUUUCUCUCUUGCCAGCCAUGUGAAGACCAUGAUUGCUUUCCCUUCAGCCUUCCACCUUUGAUUUUAGAAUGCCAAGCUGACAUUUUGAGUUUUUAUGAGAAACCAGAAAAUUUGGUGUGAAGACCCUAAGUGGUGUGUCUGACUUACAGCAGGCCCACAGUACCUGUUAUUGAGUGAGAUAAGCAAAUGGUAUUUCAGGACCAAAACAUCUGUUUCCUGAAGAGUUGCUCCUUUAAUUGUGUAUCUACCUACCUGUCUAUGUAACUCUUGGCAAAUACAUUGGAGACUUCUCAACUUUCUGCUUCUGAUGAUCUCAACUUGUGGUAUGGCAAAAGGAGAGCAAAAUGUUCACCCAGGUAUGGGAAUUUCUCACAAAAAUGUUACUUUAUUAUAUUUAGGGGAAAAAGGGGGCAAAAUCUACACUCAUAAUACCUGAGACUGGAUUUCUAGAACCUUUUGGUUUCAGAUUUAUGAUGAAUUAGAAAACUUCCUGAUUAGAAAAAUGUUAUAGUUUCAAAUAUUAGCUAAAAUUUUUAUCUGUAAGUACAAUAAACAUGACAAAUAAUGAUCAGUGUUUUCACUCCUAUUAAGGAGAGUAUUUUUAGUAAUAAAAAUAAGCCUUAAUGUGAAAAAGCUAAGAAUUCAUGAUUGCUUCUAAUGACAAGUAUCUGGGAGGGGUCUGAGUUUGGUUCAAGAGAGGAACUACAGCUGUUGGUGACUACAACCAUCUGCCCAGAUGACAUCGUGAUCAACUCCUCUGAAUCACUCUAAAGGAACGAGAAGUCCUGGCAGCUGAGUCAUGAUCCCCCAGGAGCCAUUAAGAAGUUAAUCUUCAGUCACUUCCAUCCAAACAGAAGAAAACCCAUGAAGGAUGAGAACUAUGGGUCCUGAGAAUGACAGGUAAU